GUUCUGGCAUCGAUGAAGAACGCAGCGAAAUGCGAUAAGUAAUGUGAAUUGCAGAAUUCAGUGAAUCAUCGAAUCUUUGAACGCACAUUGCGCCCUGUGGUAUUCCGCAGGGCAUGCCUGUUCGAACGUCAUUAGUACCAAUCAAGCCUAAUGCUUGGUCUUGGGGCAUGCCUGUCCGGCAGCCUCUAAAAUCAGUGGCAGUGCUGUUAGGCUCUCUGCGUAGUAAAUAACCCUCGCUACAGAGUUCUAUCAGUCACCCGCCAAAACCCCCAAUUUCUCAGGGUUGACUUCGGAUCAGGUAGGGAUACCCGCUGAACUUAAGCAUAUCAAUAAGCGGAGGAAAAGAAACCAACAGGGAUUACCUCAGUAACGGCGAGUGAAGCGGUAACAGCUCAAAUUUGAAAGCUGCCAACAGGCCGCAUUGUAAUUUGUAGAAGAUGCUUUGGGUGUUGGCCUAUUCUAAGUUCCUUGGAACAGGACGUCAUAGAGGGUGAGAAUCCCGUAUGUGAUUAGUGCCAUCCCCCGUGUAAAGCUCUUUCGACGAGUCGAGUUGUUUGGGAAUGCAGCUCAAAAUGGGUGGUAAAUUUCAUCUAAAGCUAAAUAUUGGCCAGAGACCGAUAGCGCACAAGUAGAGUGAUCGAAAGAUGAAAAGCACUUUGGAAAGAGAGUUAAACAGUACGUGAAAUUGUUGAAAGGGAAGCGCUUGCAAUCAGACUUGCAGGUAGUUGAUCAUCCGAGGUUCUCCCCGGUGCACUCGACUGCUUUCAGGCCAGCAUCGGUUUCAGUGGUGGGAUAAAGGCCGUGAGAAUGUGGCUC
rnacentral:rRNA from 1 species